UACGUAGGGUGCGAGCGUUGUCCGGAAUUACUGGGCGUAAAGAGCUCGUAGGUGGUUUGUCGCGUUGUUCGUGAAAACUCACAGCUUAACUGUGGGCGUGCGGGCGAUACGGGCAGACUGGAGUACUGCAGGGGAGACUGGAAUUCCUGGUGUAGCGGUGGAAUGCGCAGAUAUCAGGAGGAACACCGGUGGCGAAGGCGGGUCUCUGGGCAGUAACUGACGCUGAGGAGCGAAAGCGUGGGGGGCGAACAGG
rnacentral:rRNA from 1 species